rnacentral:rRNA from 1 species
CCCGCACAAGCAGCGGAGCGUGUGGUUUAAUUCGAUGUUACACGAAGAACCUUACCAGGGUUUGACAUGCAAGUGGUAGGAAGCCGAAAGGUGACCGACCCUUCGGGAGCUUGCACAGGUGCUGCAUGGCUGUCGUCAGCUCGUGUCGUGAGAUGUUCGGUUAAGUCCGCUAACGAGCGCAACCCUCGCUGUGUGUUAUAUGUGUCACACGGGACUGCCGGUCUUAAGCCGGAGGAAGGUGGGGAUGAUGUCAAGUCAGCAUGGCCUUUAUAUCCUGGGCUACACACACGCUACAAUGGCCAACACAAUAGGUUGCUAAGCCGCGAGGUGGCGCCAAUCCAUAAAGUUGGUCUCAGUUCAGAUUGUAGGCUGCAACCCGCCUGCAUGAAGAUGGAGUUGCUAGUAACCGCAGGUCAGCUAUACUGCGGUGAAUACGUUCCCGGGUCUU